rnacentral:rRNA from 1 species
UACGUAGGGCGCAAGCGUUGUCCGGAAUUAUUGGGCGUAAAGAGCUCGUAGGUGGCUUGUCGCGUCGGGUGUGAAAGCUUGGGGCUUAACUCCAGGUCUGCAUUCGAUACGGGCUGGCUAGAGGUAGGUAGGGGAGAACGGAAUUCCUGGUGUAGCGGUGAAAUGCGCAGAUAUCAGGAGGAACACCGGUGGCGAAGGCGCUCAUCUGGCCCAAUACUGACGCUGAGGCGCGAAAGCUAGGGGAGCAAACGGG